rnacentral:rRNA from 1 species
GUGGGGAAUAUUGGGCAAUGGGGGCAACCCUGACCCAGCAACGCCGCGUGAGGGAAGAAGGUUUUCGGAUUGUAAACCUCUGUCCUAUGGGAAGAAGGAAGUGACGGUACCAUAGGAGGAAGCCCCGGCUAACUACGUGCCAGCAGCCGCGGUAAUACGUAGGGGGCGAGCGUUGUCCGGAAUUACUGGGCGUAAAGGGUGCGCAGGUGGCCUGACAAGUCAGAUGUGAAAUACCGAUGCUUAACGUCGGGGCUGCAUUUGAAACUAUGAGGCUGGAGUGCAGGAGAGGGAAGCGGAAUUCCUAGUGUAGCGGUGAAAUGCAUAGAUAUUCGGAGGAACACCAGUGGCGAAGGCGGCUUACUGGUCCAUUACUGACGCUGAGGUGCGAAAGCGUGGGGAGCAAACAGGAUUAGAAACCCUAGUAGUCC